rfam:Gossypium raimondii Chr10_contig_933, whole genome shotgun sequence.
AAACCAUGCAUAGGACAUUUUUUAAGUAAUUCCUUAAAUCUUUCCCAAGCUUCGUAAGGCGUUUCAUCCUCUGAUUUUUUAAAAUAUAUGAUGCAUUUCUAAGCUU